rnacentral:rRNA from 1 species
UCAAGUUAUUAAGGGUGCAGGGCGGAUGCCUUGGCACUAGGAGCCGAUGAAGGACGUGAUAAGCUGCGAUAAGCUUCGGGGAGUUGCACGUAAACUUUGAUCCGAAGAUUUCCGAAUGAGGAAACUCACUUAGAGUAAUGUCUAAGUAUCAUUAAGUGAAUACAUAGCUUAAUGAGGGGAACUCAGGGAACUGAAACAUCUAAGUACCUGAAGGAAGAGAAAGAAAUUCGAUUCCGUAAGUAGCGGCGAGCGAACGCGGAUUAGCCCAAACCAAUAAAGUUUUCUUUAUUGGGGUUGCGGACAUAUCAUAACGAAGAGGUAUCGUAAUUGAAGAGGUUUGGAAAGACCCACCACAGAAGGUAAUAGUCCUGUAUGUUAAACGAGAAGACUUUAGAUAUGAUCCAGAGUACCACGGGACACGUGAAACCCUGUGGGAAGCAGGAGGGACCACCCUCCAAGGCUAAAUACUACCUAGUGACCGAUAGCGUAUAGUACCGUGAGGGAAAGGUGAAAAGAACCCCGGGAGGGGAGUGAAAUAGAACCUGAAACCCUGCACUUACAAGCUGUGGAAGCACAUUUCUUGUGUGACCGCGUACUUUUUGUAGAACGGGCCAACGAGUUACGUUAAGUAGCAAGGUUAAGCACUUAAGGUGCGGAGCCGUAGCGAAAGCGAGUUUUAACUGAGCGUUCAGUUACUUGACGUAGACCCGAAACCGGGCGACCUACCCAUGAGCAGGAUGAAGCGAAAGUAAAAUUUCGUGGAGGUCCGAACCCACGAGCGUUGAAAAGCUCGGGGAUGACUUGUGGGUAGCGGUGAAAUUCCAAUCGAGCCCGGAGAUAGCUGGUUCUCCCCGAAAUAGCUUUAGGGCUAGCCUCAAGGUGAGAGAUACGGAGGUAGAGCACUGAAUGUCCUAGGGGGUAUUGCACCUACCGAAGACUAUCAAACUCCGAAUGCCGUCAUCUUAUACUUGGGAGUCAGACUGUGGGUGAUAAGAUUCAUAGUCGAAAGGGCAACAGCCCAGAUCGUCAGCUAAGGUCCCUAAAUGUAAGUUAAGUGGUAAAGGAUGUGGGAUUGCACAGACAACCAGGAUGUUGGCUUAGAAGCAGCCACUCAUUCAAAGAGUGCGUAAUAGCUCACUGGUCGAGUGAUCCUGCGCCGAAGAUUUCCGGGGCUAAAACUUACUACCGAAGCUACGGCAUCAGUAAUGAUGGGUAGGGGAGCUUCCCAUACGGGUUGAAGCAUGACCGUAAGGACAUGUGGACAGUAUGGGAGUGAGAAUGUUGGCAUGAGUAGCGAGAUGUGGGUGAGAAUCCCACAGGCCGUAAACCCAAGGUUUCCAGGGGAAGGUUCGUCCGCCCUGGGUUAGUCGGGACCUAAGCUGAGGCCGAAAGGCGUAGGUGAUGGACAACAGGUUGAUAUUCCUGUACUACCGAUAACCGUUUGAGAGAAGGGAUGACACAGUAGGAUAAGCUAAGCACACUGUUGGUUAUGUGUGCCCAAGCAUUGAGGCAGUCAAAGUAGGCAAAUCCGCUUUGAUAAUGCUGGGAUGUGAUGGGGAGCGAAAUUUAGUAGCGAAGUAGCUGAUUUCACACUGUCAAGAAAAGUCUCUAUCGAGGUUAAAGGUACCCGUACCGCAAACCGACACAGGUGGGUGAGGAGAGUAUCCUAAGGCCAGCGAGAGAACUGUUGUUAAGGAACUCGGCAAAAUGACCCCGUAACUUAGGGAUAAGGGGUGCCACCAUCAGGUGGCCGCAGAGAAUAGGCCCAAGCGACUGUUUACCAAAAACAUAGGUUUCUGCUAAGUCGCAAGACGAUGUAUAGGAGCUGACGCCUGCCCGGUGCUGGAAGGUUAAGGGGAUCUGUUAGAGCAAUCGAAGCAGUGAACUUAAGCCCCAGUAAACGGCGGCCGUAACUAUAACGGUCCUAAGGUAGCGAAAUUCCUUGUCGGGUAAGUUCCGACCCGCACGAAAGGCGUAACGAUUUGGGCACUGUCUCAACAACAGACUCGGUGAAAUUGUAAUUCCGGUGAAGAUGCCGGAUACCUGCGACAGGACGGAAAGACCCCAUGGAGCUUUACUGUAGCUUGACAUUGGGUCUUGGUACUACAUGUACAGGAUAGGUGGGAGGCUUUGAAACCAGGACGCCAGUUUUGGCGGAGCCAUCCUUGGGAUACCACCCUUGUAGUACUGGGACUCUAACCAUAGGCCAUGAAUCUGGUCUUGGGACACUGUCAGGUGGGCAGUUUGACUGGGGCGGUCGCCUCCCAAAAGGUAACGGAGGCGCUCAAAGGUUCUCUCAGUACGGUCGGAAAUCGUACGUAGAGUGUAAAGGCAAAAGAGAGCUUGAUUGCAAGACAUACAGGUCGAGCAAGGAUGAAAAUCGGACUUAGUGAUCCGGUGGUUCUGCGUGGAAGGGCCAUCGCUCAACGGAUAAAAGCUACCCUGGGGAUAACAGGCUUAUCUCCCCCAAGAGUCCACAUCGACGGGGAGGUUUGGCACCUCGAUGUCGGCUCAUCACAUCCUGGGGCUGUAGU